rnacentral:rRNA from 1 species
GUUUUAAAGGAGCAAUCCGCGCUGAGAUUGGAGUAUGUUCCAUUAGCUAGUUGGCGGGGUAAUGGCCCACCAAGGCAAUGAUGGAUAGCUGGUCUAAGAGGAUGAACAGCCACAAUGGGAUUGAGAUACGGCCCAUAUUCCUACGGGAAGCAGCAGUAGGGAAUCUUCCACAAUGGGCGAAAGCCUGAUGGAGCGAUGCCAUGUGAAUGAUGAAGGUCUUUUUGAUUGUAAAGUUCUUUUAUUGGGGAAAAUGAUGAUGGUACCCGAUGAAUAAGUGACAGCAAACUAUGUGCCAGCAGCUGCGGUAAUACAUAGGUCGCAAGCGUUAUUCGGAUUUAUUGGGCGUAAAGCAAGCGCAGGCGGACGAGUAAGUUCUGUGUUAAAAGCAGCAGCUCAACUGUUGUUUGCGCCGAAUACUGCUCGUCUAGAAUACGGUAGAAAGUUUCGGAAUUGAAUAUGGAGCGGUGGAAUGUGUAGAUAUAUUCAAGAACACCAGAGGCGAAGGCGGAAACUUAGGCCGCUAUUGACGCUUAGGCUUGAAAGUGUGGGGAGCAAAUGGGAUUAGAUACCCCAGUAGUCCACACCGUAA